rnacentral:rRNA from 1 species
GACGAACGCUGGCGGCGUGCCUAAUACAUGCAAGUCGAGCGAAUCGAUGGGAGCUUGCUCCCUGAGAUUAGCGGCGGACGGGUGAGUAACACGUGGGUAACCUGCCUGUAAGACUGGGAUAACUUCGGGAAACCGGAGCUAAUACCGGAUACUUUCUUUUCUCGCAUGAGGGAAGAUGGAAAGAUGGUUCUGCUAUCACUUACAGAUGGACCCGCGGCGCAUUAGCUAGUUGGUGAGGUAACGGCUCACCAAGGCAACGAUGCGUAGCCGACCUGAGAGGGUGAUCGGCCACACUGGGACUGAGACACGGCCCAGACUCCUACGGGAGGCAGCAGUAGGGAAUCUUCCGCAAUGGACGAAAGUCUGACGGAGCAACGCUGCGUGAGUGAAGAAGGUUUUCGGAUCGUAAAACUCUGUUGUCAGGGAAGAACAAGUACCAUAGUAACUGAUGGUACCUUGACGGUACCUGACCAGAAAGCCACGGCUAACUACGUGCCAGCCGCCGCGGUAAAAC